ACGUUUUUAACGCAGGUGUCCCGCGCGCUGUCCCCUCGCGCCGCAUCUACUUGCUUGCUUGCAGCGUAAGUCUUGUUUGGUUUUGAUCGCUUGUAUCUUGCCUAUUGCAAUUCGCGUACAAGGUCGCGUGCUGUCGACGCACCGGCUUUGCGCACCUCUUGCUUUCUUAUCAUAUACUGUCGCGUCGUUGCUGGCUCGGCUACGGCUUGCGCUAUCGUUGGAAUGCAGCUAGUUUCGUGCCGGUCGCUGGUUUAUCCAGUCGUUUUUUGAGAGACUUUUUGUUUAUUCGGACUUCAAAUAUCUAAAUUUGUGUUACACCCGAAGAUCAAUCGACUAUUGUUGUGCUUGGUGUCGGUUGCUAAAUUAAUCGGAUAUAUAUCGCCCCCAUGUUGAUUCUCAUCAUUAAGAAAGAUCCAUCAGACUCGUUUACAGCACUCGUUGUACUCGGCUGUCCGAUAAGCUGUACCCUGUAUUUACCGUGCCUUCGAGUCCCAUGAAUUCUGCAUUGCAAUAUUUUCCAGUGGUUGGAUGAAGCAUUGGCUAAUCUUGAAAUAUCCAAGUUUAUCAAUAAGGACCAACUAGAGAGGUUCCGUAGUUCUGGUGGAGUGCGUUUUGAGGAUGAUGUUUUGAUUACUGAAGAUGGAUGUGUCAACUGGACUAAAGUUCCAAGAAGUGUCCAAGAAAUUGAAGAUUGGAUAGCCGACGUUGAUGAUGAUUUCAAAUACGAUUGAAUGAAUUUACAACAUUUUGAAGCUGUUAUUGAUAUAAUUUUUGUUUA